rnacentral:piRNA from 1 species
UCCACGAGAACUACCGCUGCACGGACGCCA